GCAGCUCCAGGCCCCGCAGAGGAGACGAGGGGGAGGCCUGGCCCGGUGAGAAGCCGUGGGGAGCGUGGCUCAGGGCGCAUCAGGGCUGGCUCACGUCGCUGGCGGGGAGUGGAGGAGGCGGCCACAUCUGAAAACCGAUGAAGGGCCAGGGCUGUUGACAGAAUCCUUCAGCUGCCGCUCUGCCCUCGGUGAGCGCUGAGAAGCAACCACAGGAACGUUUAA